rnacentral:rRNA from 1 species
GGCUCAGGACGAACGCUGGCGGCGUGCCUAACACAUGCAAGUCGAACGGUCUUUCUAUGGAAGCUUGCUUCCACUGAGAAGAUAGUGGCGAACGGGUGAGUAACACGUGGGUAACCUGCCCAUAAGAGGGGGAUAACAUCCGGAAACGGGUGCUAAUACCGCAUAGUUUUCUUGAUCGCAUGAUCGGGAAAGGAAAGACGGCCUUUGUGCUGUCGCUUAUGGAUGGACCCGCGGCGUAUUAGUUAGUUGGUGAGGUAACGGCUCACCAAGACGAUGAUACGUAGCCGACCUGAGAGGGUGAUCGGCCACAUUGGGACUGAGACACGGCCCAAACUCCUACGGGAGGCAGCAGUAGGGAAUCUUCCGCAAUGGACGAAAGUCUGACGGAGCAACGCCGCGUGAGUGAAGAAAGGUUUUCGGAUCGUAAAACUCUGUUGUCAGAGAAGAACAAGUUGGAGAGUAACUGCUCCAGCCUUGACGGUAUCUGACCAGAAAGCCACGGCUAACUACGUGCCAGCCGCCGC